rnacentral:lncRNA from 1 species
GAGAGAGAGAGAGAGAGAGAGAGAGAGGCAGAGACACAGGCAGAGGGAGAAGCAGGCUCCAUGCACCGGGAACCCGACGUGGGAUUCGAUCCCGGGUGUCCAGGAUCUCGCCCUGGGCCAAAGGCAGGCGCCAAACCGCUGCGCCACCCAGGGAUCCUAGCCACAGUUUUUAAUCCUUUCUACUACCUUCUCUGAAGAGACAGGUAUAUUGCUUCCUACCCCAACCUUUCAUGUUGAGCUUACAAGACUUUGGGUCCUUAGUAAUGAUAACACUACUUUUCCCCCAAGGAACCCGCUCAGGCUGCUAUUUACUAAUAUUCCAAACUCAAUAAAUCUUCAUGGUACUGUGUAAAGUAGGUACAUGACUCCCUCAUUUUACAGAAGAGAAAGGGAGGAGUGAAUAACCAUCAGGACAUUUGUUGGGGCCAGAGGGGAAAAAAAUUAUGUGCUUUUUGUCUCUCAUACUUCCUACAUCUUAGCCUUGAUUUUAAAACCAAAUUAUUCUGUGAAAUCAUCUUAAACCAAUAUUCAAAUAUCCUACUAGAUGCACUCAUCAUAUGCUAAAAAAUAAGAGGAAUAUGUUCUAUUUUGUGACUUGAUUUAAAAAAACACUUUUAAUAAAAAAAAUAAAGGUCCACUUUUCUGUCAUUACUAAUUCAAUCAGGUAAAUUGGGAAGCUCUGAAUUUUUAAGAAAAGCGUCAAUAGCUUUCAGUAAGUUGUAAGAAUCUUUGAUGUGAACAUUUCUCAAUUUUGCCAUACUUUCUCUACUUAAACUCUCCCUCCUUGUUCCCCCUUUUAUACGUGUAUGCUGACCACUAUUAAUGUAAAAAGUGAGGAUGUAGAGCAGGACCUGGGGAAAAUGCCUGUAUUCUGAGCCACUCAGACAAGGCUUCCCUAGGUUGCGUGUUAAACAUGCCCAAAUGAAGUCCACAGAGCCUUGUAAGGCCCCCUUAGCUCACUGAACCAAAUCAUACAAUCCAAGACAGUUCUCCUAAGACCUAGCUGCUGCCAUGUGGCUCUUAAUGUUGGAAGGGAAGGGAAUGCAAGAGAGGGGCAACAUCUUUCUUUUCUCCUUCCCUAUACUGAAGAAUAACUACUUUCAUUACUUUCCCUGGUUCUGUCUUCAUAUUUCUAUUUAAUACUAUUCACAUGAGAUAUCAGUCUCAAACACACUGGUAAUAUCCUCAUGCAAUUUUCCAUUGUUUCUGAGAUACUGCUUCCUAGUUCCGUGGCCAUGAGGACUCCAUCUUUCUGGUCACACAAAACUGCUUGCCCAGCUGACCAUCCUGGCCACAGUUCCAGCACAUGAGAAACAGAUCUUAAGAAUUACCCCUUCUCAUUUCAAAUGUUUGCUACUGGUGAGGAGGUGCUAAUGUACCCUUGCAAACAAGUCUCUUUGUAAGAGAAAACAACAACAAGCUUAUCUGGAGGAUGCAAUGAUAAAAAAAAUCAGGACAAAUACUUAAUUUAAAGCUCUUAUUCAUUAGAAGGAAUGGCUUAGAUUGAGAGAACAAAGGUCUUGUGAAUUAAGGAAAAAAUGCCUUACAUUUACAUAGUAGCUUCCUAAGAUAUUACCAUCAUGGUGCUUUUAAAUCUGGUCACAGUUUUUAGCCUUGGCUAGUUGGGAAGGAAAUGUAGCCUGUGAAGCUACAUUGUGGGCAGCACUCAGGCAUUUGUUCUACAGUAGGCUGAUGAUGCAGACUUGUCAGGAAUUGUGAGCUGUAGGCUUUUGUUGGGAGAAUCAAACUAUUUGACUGACAGUAUCACAUUACUUUCACCCUUCCCAGGGAAUGUCAUUCAGGUAAUUGAGAACAUUAUCAAUGUUAAGUUCAUGGAUUGUAUUUAUUAAAUAUAGGAGAAUUUAAAAGAAUAUUUAUUCCCAAGGGAUAAAAUGCUAGUAGAAUCAACUAGGGUUUACUUUUAGGAGCUUAUAAACAAAAUUAAAGAAAAAUAUGGAGAAGUUUCUAGAAAAAAAGUUCUGUUUUGUCUUUAUUUUUUAAAUUUUUAAAAAUAUUUUUAAUUUAAAUUCAAUUAAUUAACAUAUGGUGCAUUAUUAGUUUCAGAGGUAGAGUUUAGUGAUUCAUCAGUUGCAUACAACACCCAAUCCCAUCCCCCAUCCCCCUCCCCUCCAACAACCCUCAGUUUGUUUCUUACAGUUAAGAAUCUCUAAGUUUGUCUCCCUC